AUGCAAAUGGCUCUGCUAGCAAGGCUAUCUCUUGCAAGCUCUGAAGCAAGAGAGUCUAGUUUGGAAGAAAGACAUGCUGGUUCUGAUGAACAAACUUCAGAACAAUCAACGGAGGAAGCAUUUCAAGCAUCUCAUUUUGACAGUGAUUCACAGGUUCGUCUAGGCAGCUCUUCGGUUAAUGGUAGUCUUCCUAAUACCGGUCAGCUUGGUGGGAAGUGUGACACUGACAAUGGGAUGAUGCGGGUUCCAAGUGAUAGGACAAAUUACAGUGGUGAUGCGUCUGGAGAGGUUGCUGACCGGGAGCUUUCGGUCUCUUCUGCCCCUCAAAGGGAGAAUGUAAUCCUGCCAAGAUUGGGUGAUGUCUGCAUGGAAGGGCCAUUUGUUCGGCGGCAAACAUCUGACAGGGGAUUCCCCAGAAUAAUAUCGUCGUCGUCCAUGGAUGCCCGGGGUGAUUUCUCUGCCAUCGAGAAUCAGGUGCGCGAGCUAAUCAAUGAUUUGGGAAGCGAUUCCAUAGAAGGUCAGAGAUCAGCAACAUCCGAGAUUCGUCUUCUAGCUAAGCACAACAUGGAGAACAGGAUUGUGAUUGCUAAUUGUGGGGCUAUAAACUUGCUGGUUGGCCUUCUUCAUUCACCAGAUGCCAAAAUCCAAGAAAAUGCAGUGACAGCCCUCCUCAAUUUGUCACUCAGUGAUAUCAAUAAGAUUGCCAUCGUGAAUGCAGAUGCUGUUGAUCCACUCGUCCAUGUCCUGGAAACAGGGAACCCUGAAGCUAAAGAGAACUCAGCAGCUACUUUGUUCAGUCUCUCAUUUAUUGAAGAUAACAGAGCGAGGAUUGGACAAUCUGGCGCCGUAAAGCCUCUCGUCGACCUGCUGGGAAAUGGGAGCCCACGAGGAAAGAAAGAUGCGGUUACUGCAUUGUUUAAUUUAUCCAUACUUAAUGAGAACAAGGGUCGAAUUGUGCAAGCUGAUGCUCUGAGGCACCUAGUUGAGCUUAUGGACCCUGCUGCUGGAAUGGUCGAUAAGGCUGUAGCUGUCUUGGCAAAUCUUGCUACGAUACAAGAAGGGAGGACUGCGAUUGGGCAGGCGCGUGGUAUUCCAGCCCUUGUUGAAGUUGUCGAACUGGGUUCAGCGAAAGCGAAGGAAAAUGCUGCUGCGGCAUUGCUUCAGCUAUGCACAAACAGCAACAGGUUUUGCAACAUAGUUCUUCAAGAGGAUGCCGUGCCCCCUUUAGUCGCACUGUCACAGUCAGGAACACCACGCGCAAGAGAAAAGGCGCGGGCUCUUCUCAGCUACUUCCGCAGCCAAAGACAUGGGAACUCGGGAAGGAGAUGA
rnacentral:rRNA from 1 species